rnacentral:rRNA from 1 species
CCUACGGGAGGCAGCAGUGAGGAAUAUUGGUCAAUGGCCGUAAGGCUGAACCAGCCAAGUCGCGUGAAGGAAGAAGGAUCUAUGGUUUGUAAACUUCUUUUAUAGGGGAAUAAAGGUAUCCACGUGUGGAUAUUCGCAUGUACCCUAUGAAUACGCAUCGGCUAACUCCGUGCCAGCAGACGCGGUAAGACGGAGGAUGCGAGCGUUAUCCGGAUUGAUUGGGUUUAAAGGGUGCGUAGGUUGUUUUUUAAGUCAGCGGUGAAAGUUUGUGGCUCAACCAUAAAAUUGCCGUUGAAACUGGAGGAGUUGAGUGUGUUUGAGGUAGGCGGAAUGCGUGGUGUAGCGGUGAAAUGCAUAGAGAUCACGCAGAACUCCGAGUGCGAAGGCAGCUGACUAAGCCAUAACUGACACUGAAGCACGAAAGCGUGGGGAUCAAACAGGAUUAGAUACCCCGGUAGUC